UAGGGAAUCUUCGGCAAUGGACGAAAGUCUGACCGAGCAACGCCGCGUGAGUGAAGAAGGUUUUCGGAUCGUAAAACUCUGUUGUUAGAGAAGAACAAGGACGUUAGUAACUGAACGUCCCCUGACGGUAUCUAACCAGAAAGCCACGGCUCACUACGUGCCAGCAGCCGCGGUAAUACGUAGGUGGCAAGCGUUGUCCGGAUUUAUUGGGCGUAAAGCGAGCGCAGGCGGUUUCUUAAGUCUGAUGUGAAAGCCCCCGGCUCAACCGGGGAGGGUCAUUGGAAACUGGGAGACUUGAGUGCAGAAGAGGAGAGUGGAAUUCCAUGUGUAGCGGUGAAAUGCGUAGAUAUAUGGAGGAACACCAGUGGCGAAGGCGGCUCUCUGGUCUGUAACUGACGCUGAGGCUCGAAAGCGUGGGGAGCAAACAGG
rnacentral:rRNA from 1 species